AGUCACACAACUGUCCUGAGUAUGAGAACGUUGCUGCUGCAGCACAGACAGAAGACACAGAGGAGCAGGAAGACCUGGUGUGAAGCAUCAGGUGCACUGUGAUUGGUUGAAUGUAUUUAGGAGGAACAGGAAGUUUCUCUCUUUCCAUCCCCUUUUGCAGCAGCAGCAGUUUGUGCAUCAUGACCUUUAGAGCAAGAGUAUUGUUGUGUUGUUUCUUUUCUUUUUCUUUUCUGAUGGGUCCAGUCGUCCAGUUUUCGCAGCUUUAUUUCUGUGAGCUUUAGUUCUGAUGUUGGUUUAGGUUACAUUUCAUUACAUGUCAUUUGGCUGACGCUUUUGUCCAAUUAGUACACUCAACAUUUACGAAGGGCCAUUCAGUAUCUUGCCAAGGACACUUCGGCAUGCAGACGGGGAAGACUGGGGUUUGAACCGGUAACCUUCUUGUUGGAGAACGACCACUCUACCCCCUAGUUCACACUGCCCUAGGUUGAAGGAAGAUUCUCAGAUCCUACGACCCUUUGUGGGUCUGUGUUUUGGGUUUUCCUUCUUUUGUCCAUAUUGCCAGCCUGUUGUUGAAGUUGUUGUCUUUUCUGCAAUAAAUUGAUUUUUUUUUUGCUGUUACCCUCUGAACUAUGUUGGACGUCUUGGUGAUGAGCCUUUGAGGCUGUGGUAACAUCUUGUGACUCAUCUCAUGUCUUAACAUGAUAUUAAUGUGGUUAUUACAUGGAUAAUGAAUUAUUAUGUAUCGUGAUUUUAUGAUUCUUCUUAAAUAAAAGGUUUUUGGUCUUUUGUUUUCA